GUGCUUGCUUCAGAAGCACAUAUACUAAAAUUGGAAUGAUACAGAGAAGAUUAUCAUGGUCCCUGCGCAAGGAUGACAUACAAAGAAAAAAAAAGGCAAUCUUA